rnacentral:rRNA from 1 species
UACGUAGGGCGCGAGCGUUGUCCGGAUUUAUUGGGCGUAAAGAGCUCGUAGGCGGCUCGUUGCGUCGGCUGUGAAAACCCGCAGCUCAACUGUGGGCUUGCAGCCGAUACGGGCGGGCUGGGAUUCGGUAGGGGAGACUGGAAUUCCUGGUGUAGCGGUGAAAUGCGCAGAUAUCAGGAGGAACACCGGUGGCGAAGGCGGGUCUCUGGGCCGAUACUGACGCUGAGGAGCAAAAGCGUGGGGAGCGAACAGG